AACUAAAUGACAGAAUUUACAUUUUUGGGUGAACUAACCCAAAUGAGCAGUUAGAGCAAUUCUGUAACUUUUUGCAUCAUUUAACUAAAUGCUAAAUAUGAUUAUGCUAAAUUAAAAACUAACUGUUAAAAUCAGCAAGUAAAAUAUGAUUGAUUGAAUGAGCAGAUGGACUUUAGCCCCUUUUUUGGUAUUUGGUGCUGCAAUAGCACAUUAGCCAUUGGCCUAUAAACAACAGGAGAAAGUUUUAGUGUGUCCUGCUAGCCUCAGCAUUUUGUACACCCCAUGCUGAGCUGUUAGCUCCCACAUAUUUGCUCCUCUCAUCGUAUCACCAUUUAUGUUUAGACAACAGAGCCCGAUGGCCAUCCGUUGACUAGCGCUCUGCAUCUGCCUAAAUAUAGUCAGCCCUAAAGCUUCUUAGUGGGAGAACCCUCUUAUAAGUUCCUUUCCUUGAAUAGUAGCUGAGUAUAGGCUACACAAAUAUACUUAAGUGAAAAUCCCUUGCAGGUAUUUAAUUCUAAAUGAGUAAUUACUGGGUUGUCAGCGUGUCUUGUUCUGCAGGUGCGUGCAUCUUAGUGGCUCAUUCGCGCCUUGGCUUCAAAGCGAGUAGCACACAAACUCAUUGACCACUGGCAGUAGCAUCUUCUAGCCUGAUAAAGCAGUGUGCGGAGCUUCCAUUUCUCUUAGGCGAGUAACCUGACACAGCCGCCAAAAUGUGUGACAUGGGGGGACUUGAUAAUUUGGUGGCCAACACGGCCUACCUGAAAGCCCAAGGGGGUGAUGACAAGGAGAUGAAGAAACGUCGCCGAAGUCUAUCUCUGCCUAAGGCGGAACAAUGUGUGGCACUCAGGACGAGUCUGGACAAGGACUUCGAGUCCCUUUGUGAACAGCAGCCUAUAGGUAAGAAGUUGUUCCGCCAGUUCCUCGAUCAAGCAGGGCCAGAGUGCUUGACUGCUGCAGAAUUUAUGGAUGAUCUGAACGAUUGGGAAUUGUCAGAGGCUGCUGCUCGAGAUAAGGCCCGUACAAAUAUCAUCAACAAGUACUGCAAAGAUGGUUCCAAGAGCUCCCUCACCUUCCUAACUGGAGAUGUAGCAACCAAGUGCAAGGCGGUUACUGACAAAGAUUUCGAGGAGGUGAUGGCACAGGUGAAGCUGGCAACCAAAGAGUACAUCAAAGGCAAGCCGUUUACAGAUUACCAGACAAGCCAAUUCUUCGACAAGUUUCUGCAGUGGAAAGAGUAUGAGAAACAGCCAAUCACGGAGAAGUACUUCUACGAAUUCAGGACUCUUGGAAAAGGUGGAUUCGGAGAGGUGUGUGCAGUGCAGGUGAAGAACACCGGCCAGAUGUAUGCUUGCAAGAAGCUCUGCAAGAAGCGUCUCAAGAAGAAACAUGGUGAGAAAAUGGCCCUGCUGGAGAAGAAGAUCUUGGAGAAGGUCAACAGCCUGUUCAUUGUGAGCCUGGCAUAUGCUUACGACACCAAAACCCAUCUCUGCCUGGUCAUGAGCUUGAUGAAUGGAGGUGAUCUCAAGUAUCACAUCUAUAACAUUGGCGAGAAGGGUAUCGAAAUGGAUCGGAUCAUCUAUUAUACAGCUCAGAUUACAACUGGGAUCCUGCAACUGCAUGCCAUGGACAUUGUGUACCGUGACAUGAAGCCGGAGAACGUGCUCUUAGAUAGCCAGGGCCAGUGCCGUCUUUCAGAUCUUGGUCUUGCUGUGGAGAUUCCUGAUGGGAAGACCAUCACCCAAAAGGCUGGAACGGGUGCAUAUAUGGCACCUGAAAUCCUCACUGAUACCCCAUACAGGACAUCAGUGGACUGGUGGGCCCUGGGCUGCAGUAUCUAUGAAAUGGUGGCUGGUUACACCCCCUUCAAAGGCCCUGAAGCCAAGAAGGAGAAGGUGGAGAAGGAGGAGGUACAGAGGCGCAUCAUCAAUGAGGAACCCAAGUAUGAACACAAGAACUUUGACGCUGCCACCAUAGACAUCAUCAAGCAGUUCCUCAAGAAAAAGAUUGAUGAACGUCUUGGCUGCAAGGGUGAUGAUCCAAGGAAGCACGAGUGGUUCAAAUCCAUCAACUUUGCUCGAUUGGAGGCCGGCCUUAUCGAUCCACCCUGGGUGCCCAAACCCAACGUUGUCUAUGCAAAGGAUACAGGUGACAUUGCUGAGUUCUCUGAAAUCAAGGGUAUUGAGUUUGAUGCGAAGGAUGAUAAAUUCUUCAAGGAGUUUAGCACAGGUGCUGUGUCCAUUGCCUGGCAAAAGGAGAUGAUUGACACAGGACUCUUUGAUGAGCUCAACGACCCCAACCGGAAAGAAUCAUCUGGUGGUUCAGAUGAUGAUAAGAAAUCGGGCACUUGCACGCUUCUGUGAGAGACCAAUCCAGCCACUCAGCCCAGAAUUCACCAGUAAAUGCUUUAGUGGUAUCACUAAUAUUAUUGAAACUGUGCUCUGUGUCGAAGAAGAGUGAAGCAUGCCUGGAAAGAGAUGGGUCUUUAGUUCGUUGUAGCAUAGAAGGACACUCUUAUUGCUUCAUCAGCACAGAAACAUGGUCUGAGAAACACUCUAGACCAUUCAUGAUGUGGUGGACUGAGCUUUGGACCAGUCAGGGAAGUUUUUCUCUGGAGUUCCUUUAUAUCUCGUGAAGUAGUCAACCUCCUAUCCAACAGGGGGCGCAAGUAAAAGUACUAUUCCCUAUUGAGAAGAUGCUAGAAGAGUAGAGGAAUACAGGCCACCUAAAGAGACUUUUAAGAUUAUUAUGUAACUAUAGUGACUCGAUAUAAUCGACAGCAGUUUGUGAUCACAAGGCAGAGAUGUGUGGAUAUGCAAAAAAGAGUCAUCCUCAAGAAGUGGCUUGCGUUCUAAACAUCUCCUGCCUUGCCAAAUCACAAUUUAUUUGUGGAUUAGUUCAUGGUGUACUAGUACACAGCUGGCAUCUACUGUAUACAUACCAUAAGACUAUAAGAGGCUACUGAAGACCAGGCCCAGACGGAAUCUGCAGAAUUGUUUCUCAUUUUUGAAUUCAAAAUUCUGUGGAAUGUACUAAAAUUAAAUUAGGCAAAAUUCAUCCAUCCAUUUUUCAAACAGCUUCUCCUGUGUAGGAUUGUGGGGAUGGUGGAGCCUAUUCCAGCAUCUCCAGCCAUAGGCAGGGUAAUACCCUGAACAGAUGGCUGGUCCAUCACAGAUUAGCCAAAAUAUUUAACAAAAAAAAUGUGCAUGAAAACAUUUUGUUAAUGAUGGGCAUUCCAAUUCUGCAGAAAUCUGGGAAGCAUUCCAUGCACACAGAUUCUGCGUGGGCCUGCCUGUGACACGGGUAAACAGCUACAUGCUAACAAAAGUGCAUUUGAAUGAAUGGUGUAAUUGUCCAACAGAGCUCAAAUGAUCUCUGUUGUAGAAAGUCUCACACAAAUUGUUAACACAUGCUUGUGAUCUUUGAUAGCAGGCCAUUUCAGAUUUCACCUAGAUUUUUAAAUGAUUUGUGUGUAUAAAUAUGUACAUAUAAAUAUGAAUGAAUAAAUCAAUAUAUAUAUAUAUGUAUUAAUAGCUCUGAAAUGAAAUCAAAUCAGAGCCUGAUUACUUAGCAUUUAAAGGUAACAAUUCCUUUUGUGGUUUGUUGCUUUUUUACCGCUCUGAUAUUAUGGGAUAGAUGUACACAGCAGUCAGCUUUGUUCAGCUGAAAGAGUUCAAUCCUCAAGGGCACAAAGAGAGAGCUUUGGCACGGAUACGUCUACUCAAUCCUCACUAGUUGUGUUACAUAAUCAAGGUGGAGCUUGUGCCCCCCUUACAGUCUUCAUUUGUUUUGCUUUUAUAAUGCUGAGCAAGGGCAAAAGAAAACUUGUUACUGUAAAAAUCACAGUAAGUGACAUAAAAUGGACCAAACUACCUGUUUUCAAAUGAAUUAUUUGUUCUGUCUCUUUGCCGGUGUUCAGUUUUUACUUUUUGUCAGAUUUUUCUCUGAGCUUUUUCCCCCUAUAAUGCUGGUGCUUGGCGCUAAUCAGUAAACAUCUACUACGCUGGUACUAAUCAAAUCAGUAAAUUUAGGGCAAGAGUCACAGUUCACU